rnacentral:lncRNA from 1 species
UCAUGAGGGCAAUUUUGUCCCUCUUCUCAUCAAAUUAAAUUAUCCAAACUAUGGUCGGAGGACAAUUUUGUCAAAAUAAAAAUAACUCUAGUUUGGUAUAAGUCUCUCUCACCAUACGAUCCCUAUCCUCUUCUUAUCAAAAUAAAUUAUCCAAACUACAGUAUCAUGAGGGUAAUUUCAUCAAAAUAACAAUAUAUGUGGUUCCGUAUUCGCAAA